GGAAGCGCCGGGCUUAGGUUACGAGGUUGAGGUACGUUGUAUUUUGUGCACUAUGGUGAUAAUUGAGGCAGAAGUUUUUGGCCUAGUUAAGAUGCAGGAGGUUCAGGGAUCUUGUAGUGAUCGGUCUACGACAGCUUUGGAAACCUCUAGGUUCGAAAACCUGAGGUAUUCUUUUGAUCACGCGGCGGCCACGUGCAACCCUGGCGCUGAGUCAGAAGUCGAGCGCGCACGGGUCACGGGCCCUCCGACAAAGGAUCGGUGCACCUGAUGACCGGCAAAGGUCCCGAAUUCCGCUGUCGGUGUCAAGUGGCCAUCUUGAAGCUACUCCGCCACUGUUAAAUAAAUAGUGACAUCGAAUCCUGAUACCCGCCACAUUUAGAUCCAGAAAGAAGCUGAACUAAUCGUUCCAAUGGAUGACAGGAAACAUGACAAGAUAAUCAAGAAAUUCAAAAUGUAUGGGUGAAGUCCUGUUUAUUUAGAAUCUUGUGGUGCACUGCCAAACGUGAUUUUUUUUAAUCGCAACAUGUUGCAUAUUGAGUGGUGAAUAAUCUGUAAGCUAUCAAGUUGGUGGUCUCCAUAUAGGCCAGAAUAUUACUUCGGCGUAAGUAUGACAUUUAGUAGAGAAUAAGUGAGUGCUUGCUUGCUAUAAUUAAAUAAAAUGCUUGAUUUCAUCUGGAAAAA